UUUCAUAACCCUAGUCCUCAAAUUUCAUUCUUUAAAAAUCUCAACUUUUUUCAAGAAAACAUCAUCUCAUAAAUCUCUGUAACAUGUUUUCUUGAUUUUCUUCAUCUGGGGCCAUUAAAAGGGAAAUCUUGAAUCUCAGUUUCAACAAUUUUUCGUCAGAACCGAUAGAUGUUGUUGUUGUUGUUUUGUGUUAAAUUACAUAAGAAGUUAUAGAUUCACCAUUAUUAUAGCUUAAGUUCAGCCUUUUCUUUUUCUGGGG
rnacentral:misc_RNA from 1 species